AUUGAACGCUGGCGGCAGGCCUAACACAUGCAAGUCGAGCGGAUGAAGGGAGCUUGCUCCUGGAUUCAGCGGCGGACGGGUGAGUAAUGCCUAGGAAUCUGCCUGGUAGUGGGGGAUAACGUCCGGAAACGGGCGCUAAUACCGCAUACGUACUGAGGGAGAAAGUGGGGGAUCUUCGGACCUCACGCUAUCAGAUGAGCCUAGGUCGGAUUAGCUAGUUGGUGGGGUAAAGGCCUACCAAGGCGACGAUCCGUAACUGGUCUGAGAGGAUGAUCAGUCACACUGGAACUGAGACACGGUCCAGACUCCUACGGGAGGCAGCAGUGGGGAAUAUUGGACAAUGGGCGAAAGCCUGAUCCAGCCAUGCCGCGUGUGGGAAGAAGGUCUUCGGAUUGUAAAGCACUUUAAGUUGGGAGGAAGGGCAGUAAGUUAAUACCUUGCUGUUUUGACGUUACCAACAGAAUAAGCACCGGCUAACUUCGUG
rnacentral:rRNA from 1 species